GAUGAACGCUGGCGGCGUGCCUAAUACAUGCAAGUCGAGCGAACGGACGAGAAGCUUGCUUCUCUGAUGUUAGCGGCGGACGGGUGAGUAACACGUGGAUAACCUACCUAUAAGACUGGGAUAACUUCGGGAAACCGGAGCUAAUACCGGAUAAUAUUUUGAACCGCAUGGUUCAAAAGUGAAAGACGGUCUUUCUGUCACUUAUAGAUGGAUCCGCGCUGCAUUAGCUAGUUGGUAAGGUGACGGCUUACCAAGGCAACGAUGCAUAGCCGACCUGAGAGGGUGAUCGGCCACACUGGAACUGAGACACGGUCCAGACUCCUACGGGAGGCAGCAGUAGGGAAUCUUCCGCAAUGGGCGAAAGCCUGACGGAGCAACGCCGCGUGAGUGAUGAAGGUCUUCGGAUCGUAAAACUCUGUUAUUAGGGAAGAACAUAUGUGUAAGUAACUGUGCACAUCUUGACGGUACCUAAUCAGAAAGCCACGGCUAACUACGUG
rnacentral:rRNA from 1 species